GCUUUGAUCAAGACACAAACUCAUUAAUCUGAAUCCUCCCUCAAAAUUCUUUCUUCAAAAAGUUUUUCGGACAGUAAAACCCUCGGGCUUCCUUCCUCUCCUCCAAGCCUUCAUAUCUCUACGUUUCUUAUCUCCUGUCUUCCUUAAAUCUCUUUCUAGGUCCUUGUCCUAAAAUCAGACUUGUCUUUGCAAUUUUAGGACUAGUCCUUAUAAGGGAAGGAAGGGAAUAAUUGGACAAUGGGGAGAGUGGUGUAGGAAAGAAGAGAUAGGAACUUUUUCCAAAUGAUCCAAUCCCCCCAAUGUGCAUCCCCUUUUAUAUUUGA
rnacentral:lncRNA from 1 species